GCACUGUGUAUGCGACUUUCUGCUCCCAGAAGCCAGCGGCUUCACGCAACGACGUGUACCAGUUCUUCUUGAGCAACUACGGGGAUGUGAUCCAUUCGAUUAGAAUGGAUGAGCAAAAUCCCCCUCUCCAUGCUUGGAUCACAUUUCACAGUCCAGAAGUUGUAAAAGGUGUCCUUGGUGAGGGACCUCUGCCUCUUAAGAAAUGGAUGCUGGGUGGGAAGAGCAUCUGGCUCAAACCCAGCAUCCUAUAGGUGGAUUGAAAUGGGGGGCAGUGGCUGCAAUAAGCUGUUCCUGGCUUGGUGAAGCAGAAGAGAAGUACAUCAUUUUGUUGCUCUGCUGCAAACUCAGUUGAUGCAGAAAUAAUUGCCAGUGGAUAGUUUAGAGCUUUUCUGUUUUGGUAGUUAAGAAAUUGAGAGAUAGUUUGAUGUUGAAUGUUGAGAUAUUGAAUUGGCAACAGGAACUUGUAUGUAUAGUAGAAAUGAGGUGGCUGAUGAGUAUAGAAAGUGAUAUUCAAAUGAGGCGAAAUGUUAAUACUUUUGAAUUGAUAGUAGAAUUCAAUGAAUGUGUGGUGCAGCAGGUUUGUAAAUA